CCACGGGUGGCUGCAGUGGGGAAUAUUGGACAAUGGGCGAAAGCCUGAUCCAGCCAUGCCGCGUGUGUGAAGAAGGCCUUCGGGUUGUAAAGCACUUUCAGUGGGGAAGAAAGCCUUGGGGCUAAUACCCUCGAGGAAGGACAUCACCCACAGAAGAAGCACCGGCUAACUCCGUGCCAGCAGCCGCGGUAAUACGGAGGGUGCGAGCGUUAAUCGGAAUUACUGGGCGUAAAGCGCGCGUAGGCGGUCUGAUAAGCCGGUUGUGAAAGCCCCGGGCUCAACCUGGGAACGGCAUCCGGAACUGUCAGGCUAGAGUGCAGGAGAGGAAGGUAGAAUUCCCGGUGUAGCGGUGAAGUGCGUAGAGAUCGGGAGGAAUACCAGUGGCGAAGGCGGCCUUCUGGACUGACACUGACGCUGAGGUGCGAAAGCGUGGGUAGCAAACAGGAUUAGAUACCCGGGUAGUC
rnacentral:rRNA from 1 species